GGCUGUGAUCACAGAAAUCUCAAGUGUGAAGUCAACACUGAGUCUAAAAGAUUCUCUACUGUCUUAAGGUUUUCAUUCAGCUCUGGCCACAUUUUUUUCCUUCUUUAGAACAAUGACUCCUUAUAUUACUGGUCUUUCUUCUCGUGAUUCUCAGGUUUAACACAUAUGUCAGGAUUGUUAGUUGGGUAAUACCCCAUAUUUUCCCACUAGAAACUUUCGAUCCCCGUUUGGAAAUGUGUUUUAAAACUUUCUGGUCUCCAGUCGGGCAGUGGUGGCACAUGCCUUUAAUACCAGCAUUCAGGAGGCAGAGACAGGUGAAUUUUUGAGUUCGAGGCCAGCCUGGUUUACAUACAGAGUUCCAAGACAGCCAGGCUAAACAGAGAAAUCCUGUCUCUAACCCACAAUCCCCCGCCUCUCUUCCCCCACCCAAAACAACAACAACAACAGCAAAACCCAAAACUUUCUGUUACUAAUUCCAGGUCAGAAUACACACAGGAAUCCUGAGAAACACUGUCGGACCAGUGAAAGGACAGGAAUUCGAAAUGGAAUUCACAUAGCGUUUAGCAGAGGAAAGUCCUGGUGUUAUCAAAUCCAGGGACUUGUGGGAUCUGUUCGGUCACCGGUAGGGCAGUGGGGAGUGACUCAGUUGCCCAGAGCUGCGAUGGCUGCUGCUGAGGCUUUCUUUUGCCCGGAUCUAUCUUCUUUACGUGUCAGCAUUUACUGUGAGAACUACAGUGAAUACAUUUAGUAAAAUGUUGGUACCUUCUUACUCAUCAGUUGAAUCAGGAAGUUGCCGCCGUGUGUUUUCGAAACACUCAACCCCUCAAAGUUUCUCCUGCCCUUAACCAAAAUGGUCGUUAAGGGGGUCCGGAGGGCUGAAGCUCCUGGCCCUUAACAAAGAUGGCGCCGAGAGGCACGUUAGCUACGAGUUUGCCCUCUUCUGCGCCCGUGACAAACAUGGCUUCCAAGGCGUCACCCACAUGACCUCCCCGGACUACGGCACGGGAGACGGCGCAGGAGGGCCCUUGAAAAGGGUGCGCGUUCCUGUGGCGGUGCACCGGGUAGGUUUCAGUCAGAGUCACUAUGGCGGCCAGCGCUGGCGAGGGCGCGAAGUUUCCUGCCUCGGCCGCCACCGCCUGAGCUCGCCGCACUGGCCGCGCGGCGGAGGCUGCGGCGGAGCCAGCGCCGGCCUCCAGGCCUCUCCCUCCCGCUCCGGGCCAGCCUCCCUCCCCCACGCACCGCCGCCCUCCGGGAGCCGCCGGCCCCCGACAUGCGACCCUCGCGGGGACGUCCUGAGGCGAGGCGGCCCGCGUGCUGAGCAGGCCGAGCCCCGAGCUCCGCGGGACCGACUUCCCGCCGGCCCGGGCGCCCCGGCCUCCGGGCUCAGCGCCUGUCCGCCCCGGCCUGCCGAGCCGGGUCCCCGCCCUGGUCGCGGGGCCAGCCGCCCGGUGCCGGGACUCGCGGCUCAGUCGCUCGCCCCAGCCCGGGGUCGCGGCCCGGCUCCCUGCGGCCCGGGCCCCCCUGCCACUCCCGGCGGCGGCGGCGGCGCAGCGGGGCGAUGCCCCCCGGCCCGCUGGCCCUCUAGCCCGCUCGGCCGGUCCCCUCACCUCCUGUCAGCCCCGCGGCUUCUGAGCCCCGGCGGCGGCCGCCCGGAGGACCUUCCGACCGCCCCGAGCCAGCCCUCUUCAUGCUGCAGUGCCGCACCGUUUCCGCUACCGAAGGGGAGAAGCGGCCGGGAUCGCAAACAAAACCCGAGAACUGGUGUGUGACUCAUCUGCUCGGAUACCUCCCGUCCCCGAACUGUCUUCCCGGAGUUUUCUCGGCCGAAGCUGCCCAAUGUUUGAGCCUUUUCUUCCUAGGGAAGAUAGACUGAAAGCUGCCAGUUGGGGACUUUUUUUGGUCAAGAAGUCUCUGUAUUUUGAAGGAGGUGAUGGGGCUUGCGCUGACUUGUCUUCCUGCCCAGUUGAAGAGUUGUUGAUGUUCACUGGUUAUGCUUAGACAAUGCGCAGUCUGUUUUAAUUUAAAAAUUUUGGGGGGCUAGGGCUAUAAGCUUGUGAAGAGCCUUCCGAACCCGGAGGAGCUCCUCAUUGUCCCCGGUAGAGAC
ensembl:lncRNA